CACCUCUCAAAUACCUGUAUUUGAUGUUGGGCAAUGCUUCCGGGCAUGCCUCAAAAUCAGCGACGGUGUCAUCAACCUCAAGCGCACACAUGUCGUUUUAGGGGUCGAUCGAUAUCUGCCUUCUACCAUUCUGAA
rnacentral:misc_RNA from 1 species